rnacentral:rRNA from 1 species
CAAUAGCGUAUAUUAAAGUUGUUGCAGUUAGAACGCUCGUAGUCGGAUUUCGGGGCGGGCCGACCGGUCUGCCGAUGGGUACGCACUGGUCGGCGCGUCCUUCCUUCCGGAGACCGUGCCUACUCUUAACUGAGCGGGGGCAGGAGACGGAUCGUUUACUUUGAAAAAAUCAGAGUGUUUCAAGCAGGCAGCUCGCUCUUGCAUGGAUUAGCAUGGGAUAAUGAAAUAGGACUUUGGUGCUAUUUUGUUGGUUUCGAACACCGAAGUAAUGAUUAAAAGGGACAGUCAGGGGCACUCGUAUUCCGCCGAGAGAGGUGAAAUUCUCAGACCAGCGGAAGACGAACCACUGCGAAAGCAUUUGCCAGGGAUGUUUNCACUG